rnacentral:tRNA from 1 species
GGUUCUGUGGUGUAGUGGUUAUCACGUCUGCUUCACACGCACAAGGUCGCCGGUUCGAUCCCGGCCAGGACCU